GGCGACAUGGCCAAGUGGUAAGGCAUCGGAUUGCAAAUCCGUCAUUCCCCGGUUCGAAUCCGGGUGUCGCCU
rnacentral:tRNA from 1 species